AUACAGAGGGUGCGAGCGUUAAUCGGAAUUACUGGGCGUAAAGCGCGCGUAGGCGGUCCUGCAAGUCAGGCGUGAAAGACCCGGGCUCAACCUGGGAGGUGCGCUUGAAACCGCGGGACUGGAGUCCGGGAGAGGUGAGUGGAAUUCCCAGUGUAGAGGUGAAAUUCGUAGAUAUUGGGAAGAACACCAGUGGCGAAGGCGGCUCACUGGCCCGGUACUGACGCUGAUGCGCGAAAGCGUGGGGAGCAAACAGGAUUAGAUACCCCGGUAGUCC
rnacentral:rRNA from 1 species